ACUGAGCCCUGCAGCUUUCAAGGUUCAGGACUGGCACUGCUUGAAGAGCCAGUGUGCAAGUACUGCACUAAGUUUACAGAAUACUGUGCCAGAAACCUCCUUAUUGAAGAAUUUAUUUUGUUAAAACUUUUGUUUGUCUGUUUGUUUUUGCAGUGAAACCUCAACCCCACCUGUUGGUUUUGGUGUGGGAUUUUUUUUUCAGAGAAGUUAUGAUUGGGUUAUAAAGCCAGUAAAAAAAAAAGCAGUAAAAUUUCCAGGACUUAAACUGCCAAGCACACAGAGAAGUUUUACAGAGAGCUCAGCCAGUGAGACAUAGUAAAUGUAGGGCAUCUAUCAUGCUUAAACCUUGUAAUGACCCAACAUAGUUUUAUCAUCAUCUGAACACAGCAGGAGAGUUAAAACCACACUGAACUCCAUUGGAGGAAGAGCACUCUAGGUGUUUACGAAGAACAUUACAAAAAGGAUAUGUUUGACACAAAAAAAAGCCCCCAUAAAUCCUAGGAUGAAAGCAGCUUUGUCUAUGCUAAAGGUUUAGCUAAGAUUAUUUUGCAAUCAAGGUAUGGCGUUCUCUCACCUUCGUCUUUCUUUUCAUUGUUUUCCCAGACAAGACUGAAGAGUAUCAUUAAUGCAAUUUCUAGAAGGCAUCUGUCAUCUGUCACAUGUGUUUAUAUAUCCAUGCCUACUGUGUGCAGACUGGGAAAUUCCCCUAGUGUCCUUGAGGGAGAAUAAAGACCACAGGGAUGAGCAGUGGCAUGACACCAGCUACCCAUGGAGCAGCAAUGUCUUCAAUGUUGCGUUGCACUCCAUACUCUUAGGACAAGUUAAUUAUCAGGUCUGGUUCCCCAGCCCCAGCCCCAGCAGUGGUGGAGCUGAGUGGCUGUGGGCACUUGAUACUGAUUAAAUUCUGCUGACUGAGGAAGAUGUCAAAUUCUACCCAAAGCAGAAAGCCGCCAAGGAAAAGCUGCUUUUCUUUGCUUUUGACAGCUGGAGCCAUGAAUUUAAGCAGAGGUCUCACCUUCAGGCAAGUCAACAGCUGGGCAGGGAGCAGUCUCUCUUAAAGAGAGAGUGCACCGCAUUUUGCUGGAGUUCAGUGUUGCCA
rnacentral:lncRNA from 1 species